AGAGUUUGAUCCUGGCUCAGAAUCAACGCUGGCGGCGUGCUUCACACAUGCAAGUCGAACGGGGCUCAUCCGGUGGUAACACUGGAGAAGGCCUAGUGGCGAACGGGUGAGUAACACGUGAGGAACCUGCCCCGAAGACCGGGAUAACAGCGGGAAACCGCUGCUAAUACCGGAUGCCCCCACCUGGCCGCAUGGCCGGG
rnacentral:rRNA from 1 species